GGGGAUCUCAGGAGGCAUGGAAACACCUGUGUUCAGCAUGAUUCCUUCAGUAGCUGAUGAAGCUGAAGAAGCUACACAGGCAUUAAUGUUUGAUUCUCCACAGGAGGUGUUUUACACUCCA